rnacentral:rRNA from 1 species
AACGAACGCUGGCGGCAGGCCUAAUACAUGCAAGUCGAACGCACCGCAAGGUGAGUGGCAGACGGGUGAGUAACGCGUGGGAAUUUUCCUUGCAGUACGGAAUAACUCCGGGAAACCGGUGCUAAUACCGUAUACGCCCUUCGGGGGAAAGAUUUAUCGCUGCAAGAUAAGCCCGCGUCGGAUUAGCUAGUUGGUGGGGUAAAGGCCUACCAAGGCUACGAUCCGUAGCUGGUCUGAGAGGAUGAUCAGCCACACUGGGACUGAGACACGGCCCAGACUCCUACGGGAGGCAGCAGUAGGGAAUAUUGGACAAUGGGCGCAAGCCUGAUCCAGCCGUGCCGCGUGUGUGAUGAAGGCCUUAGGGUUGUAAAGCACUUUCAACGGUGAAGAUAAUGACGGUAACCGUAGAAGAAGCCCCGGCUAACUUCGUGCCAGCCGCCGCAGUAAAAC